AGAGUUUGAUCAUGGCUCAGAUUGAACGCUGGCGGCAUGCUUUACACAUGCAAGUCGAACGGCAGCACGGGGGCAACCCUGGUGGCGAGUGGCGAACGGGUGAGUAAUGCAUCGGAACGUAUCCUUAAGUGGGGGAUAACGCAUCGAAAGAUGCGCUAAUACCGCAUAAUCUCUAAGGAGAAAAGCAGGGGAUCGCAAGACCUUGCGCUUUUGGAGCGGCCGAUGUCUGAUUAGCUAGUUGGUGAGGUAAAGGCUUACCAAGGCUUCGAUCAGUAGCUGGUCUGAGAGGACGACCAGCCACACUGGGACUGUGACACGGCCCAGACUCCUACGGGAGGCAGCAGUGGGGAAUUUUGGACAAUGGGGGCAACCCUGAUCCAGCCAUGCCGCGUGAGUGAAGAAGGCCUUCGGGUUGUAAAGCUCUUUCAGCCGGAACGAAAAGGUUACGGUUAAUACCCGUGACUAAUGACGGUACCGGAAGAAGAAGCACCGGCUAACUACGUGCCAGCAGCCGCGGUAAUACGUAGGGUGCGAGCGUUAAUCGGAAUUACUGGGCGUAAAGCGUGCGCAGGCGGUUUUGUAAGUCAGAUGUGAAAUCCCCGGGCUUAACCUGGGAACUGCGUUUGAAACUACAAGGCUAGAGUGUGGCAGAGGGGGGUGGAAUUCCACGUAGCAGUGAAAUGCGUAGAGAUGUGGAGGAACACCGAUGGCGAAGGCAGCCCCCUGGGUUAACACUGACGCUCAGGCACGAAAGCGUGGGGAGCAAACAGGAUUAGAUACCCUAGUAGUCC
rnacentral:rRNA from 1 species